GGGGAUUUAGCUCAAUUUGGUAGAGCAGACGGCUCAUAACCGUCCAGGCACAGGUUCAAAUCCUGUAGUCCCCA
rnacentral:tRNA from 1 species